GAAAUCUCGUGUGGAACAAA
rnacentral:snRNA from 1 species